CCGAACAGCGGGAGGUUUCAUAUACCCGCUUUAUAAAUUGUCUCGGCCGCCGCCAUGAAAGAGGGGCGAGCGGUCAUACCCCGUGAAAGAAUUCGUUAUGCGAAGUUGGGCGAGGGGCGUCUCGCCGAGGGUUUAGGUGCCCUCGAACCAAAGCGCACCCCACAUUUCAACCCCAUUAAACUCUGAAUCUGAACUCAAAGGGGGGCAGCGCUUGUAGCGGCCCCCACAACCUUAAACGUU
rnacentral:misc_RNA from 1 species